rnacentral:rRNA from 1 species
GAUGAACGCUGGCGGCGUGCCUAACACAUGCAAGUCGAACGCUCGCAAGAGAGUGGCGCACGGGUGAGUAACACGUAGCUAAUCUGCCCUCAAGACAAGGAUAACUGUAGGAAACUACUGCUAAUACUUGAUAAGCUUACGGACUGUAGAGGUCUAUAAGAAAGAUUUAUCGCUUGAGGAUGAGGCUGCGCGCCAUCAGCUAGUUGGUAAGGUAAUGGCUUACCAAGGCGACGACGGCUAGGGGACCUGAGAGGGUGACCCCCCACACUGGGACUGAGACACGGCCCAGACUCCUACGGGAGGCAGCAGUGAGGAAUAUUGCUCAAUGGGCGCAAGCCUGAAGCAGCGACGCCGCGUGGAUGAAGAAGGUUUUCGGACUGUAAAAUCUUUUUCUGUGUGACGAGAGUGGACGGUAGCACAGGAAUAAGUCUCGGCUAACUACGUGCCAGCAGCCGCGGUAAU